rnacentral:rRNA from 1 species
ACUCAAGAAAAGAAUUUAAGUUCAGCCUAAAAUUAACUAAGUGCAUCAAAACAACAACCCUAAUUUUAGAGUAAUUCAAAUAAGGUACAGCCUAUUUGAAAAAGGACACAACCUCGACCAUCGGGUAAUUUAAACCAACGCCUAACAAAGUGGGCCUAAGAGCAGCCAUCUUUCAAAAAGCGUCAAAGCUUAAUUAAGCAAUCAAUUAAUACCAAUAUUACCUAAGAACCCUUAAUCAAUACUGAGUAAUUCUAUACUACUAUAGAAGAUUUUAUGUUAAAACUAGUAACAAGAAGAAGAACUUCUCUUACAAUGCAAGUGUAAAUCAGACAGGACAACCCACUGAUAAUUAACACCAAUGAAUAAAAAGUAGUAACUAAACAAGAAAACCCUACUAUACCCCUAUGUUAACCUAACACCAGAGCAUUUCAAGAAAGAUUAAAAGAAAAAGAAGGAACUCGGCAAAUAUUAACCUCGCCUGUUUACCAAAAACAUCGCCUCUUGAGCAAAUAUAAGAGGUCCAGCCUGCCCAGUGACUCUGUUCAACGGCCGCGGUAUCCUAACCGUGCGAAGGUAGCGUAAUCACUUGUUCUUUAAAUGAGGACUAGUAUGAAUGGCACCACGAAGGUUAUACUGUCUCCUCUUUCUAAUCAGUGAAACUAAUCUCCCCGUGAAGAAGCGGGGAUAAACAUAUAAGACGAGAAGACCCUAUGGAGCUUUAAACUAAGUAACACUUGCACUAACUUUGAGUAAAUUUCAGAAAAAUCUCCAUUACCCCUGCAAGAUGAUUAAUAGUUUUAGGUUGGGGUGACCGCGGAGCAAAACAUAACCUCCACAUUGAAAGGAACCCACUCCUUAGCCAAGAGCUACACCUCCACGCAUCAAUAUAGUGACAUUAAUUGACCCAAUAUUUUGAUCAACGAACCAAGUUACCCUAGGGAUAACAGCGCAAUCCACUUCAAGAGCCCCUAUCGACAAGUGGGUUUACGACCUCGAUGUUGGAUCAGGGUAUCCCGGUGGUGCAGCCGCUACCAAAGGUUCGUUUGUUCAACGAUUAAAACCCU